rnacentral:rRNA from 1 species
AUUGAACGCUGGCGGCAUGCCUUACACAUGCAAGUCGAACGGCAGCACGGGUGCUUGCACCUGGUGGCGAGUGGCGAACGGGUGAGUAAUACAUCGGAACGUACCUUAUCGUGGGGGAUAACGCAGCGAAAGCUGUGCUAAUACCGCAUACGCCCUGAGGGGGAAAGCGGGGGAUCGAAAGACCUCGCGCGAUUAGAGCGGCCGAUGCCUGAUUAGCUUGUUGGUGGGGUAAAAGCCCACCAAGGGGACGAUCAGUAGCUGGUCUGAGAGGAGGAUCAGCCACACUGGGACUGGGACAGGGCCCAGACUCCUACGGGAGGCAGCAGUGGGGAAUUUUGGACAAGGGGGGCAACCCUGAUCCAGCAAUGCCGCGUGAGUGAAGAAGGCCUUCGGGUUGUAAAGCUCUUUUGUCAGGGAAGAAACACCGGCUCUAACACAGUCCGGGAAUGACGGUACCUGAAGAAUAGGCACCGGCUAACUACGUGCCAGCAGCCGCCGUAA